rnacentral:tRNA from 1 species
AAAUGAGAAGCAAAAUUUGCAAUCAGUUUCGACCUGAUCUUAGAUAAUCUUAUUUAUCCUCAUUUU